rnacentral:lncRNA from 1 species
AACAGAGUAAAUCAUAAGUGAGAAAAUUGGAGCAAAACAUUCUAAAUGAUGAUCAUACCGAAUCGGUAAUUGUUUAAGUGCGGUAAUAUUUCCUCGAGGUGUUGGUCGCUACAUUGUGACUUUAUGACUUGUGUGUGUGAGAGCAGGGUGCUCUGUCGUUUUGUGGUCGUGGACCAUGGUGGCCAUCCCGGGAGGGGAUGUUGUGACUUAUGACUGUUUUGUAGCGUAACCACAGUUUGGGGAGGAAUAUUACAGUCUGUUGUACUUUGCAGUAGAUGUGUAAUAAUGUUAAUUGAUUUAAUUGAGCAAUGAAAGCUAUGAUUGACCUGUUUCGGAGCAACUCUGAUAGGAAGCUGCGCACUUGUAGUGUUCGGGGCUGCAGCCACUUUUGUGCUGCUCGUCUUAGAAACUACAGGUAUGCGGUCGAGGCCUGGAUGUCAUGUUGACUUUGUAUUUGGUCAUGACAUUGUACCUGAAUCUAAGUCAAGUUGACCUCCGGUAGAAUUAGUCGAACUGCACAAAUUAGAAAUUAGUGAUAUAAAAGAAAUUGUGUAACGCAUUGACCACUAUUCUACCAACUAAAAUGUAAAGUUUGUGUGCUAGCUGUGUUGAGAUAUCGUCACUUGGUGUAAGUGGCAUGAGUUGCUGUCGCUCGAUUUAGGUGGCAGCAACGACUGUGUUGAGAUAUCGUCACUUGGUGUAAGUGGCAUGAGUUGCUACCGCUCGAUUUAGGUGGUAGUGACGCCUGGUUUUGAGAUAUCGUCGCUCAGUAGAGUGGCAUGAGUUACUAUCGCUCGUUUAGGUGAUAGUAACGACCGAUGUGUAAAGAGUAAUUGAAUUUUCAAGUUUGGUUGUUUAUAGUGUGUGAAUACUGGUCAAUGGUCCGUGUAUUGUUAGUUGAUGAUUAAUCAUGAUGUAAUGUGAGCUCGUGUAGAGUCACAAGUAGAGCUCGUGUAGAGUCACAAGUAGAGCUCGUGUAGAGUCACAAGUAGAGCUCGUGUAGAGUCACAAGUAGAGCUCGUGUAGAGUCACAAGUAGAGCUCGUGUAGAGCUCAUGCAGAGUCCUAUAUAGAGUCUCAUGUUAGGUCAGGAAUGACCGAGCGAACUUGGAUACUGUGCUGUGGUAUAUUGUUUCAGAUUAACACACGAGGACGUGUGUCACGCAGGAUGGCCGUGUCGGAGUUAGUUAUGAAUAAAGAAGAGAAAUUGAUCAAAUCGGAAAAUACAAUGAAGUUGCAACGCUCCGACGUCAGGUGGCGUACGAGCAGAGCGGAGUGAAGUCGGGGGAGUCACUACAGAGUCGUCGUGUCGAGCGGACGUGCACUGCCGUUCUAGUCGGGCAGUCUACCGCGAACCAUCGUCGUGAACGGACGUGUCGAAUAAUUACGAUCGGAACGUGGAGUGAUAUAGUCGCUCACCUAUAACUUGUAGGGACGUCAAGAAAGUGUGAUCGGAAAAGAGUACCUAGCAAGUACGUUCACAUGUCCCGAUGAUUCGGUCCGAAUAUAGGAACCAUGGGUGGUGGAGGGCAAGUAGAGGGCGAGUAGCCCCUUCGCGCUAACGUCCUUAUGCGCGCUAGAUAACGAGAGACUGUGUAACCGUUACGAAUACCGUGACGUUGCCGUGAGUGUGUACCUUAUGCUGUGACUUUAUUUAAUCGUGAUACAAAAACUAUGUGGAAGUAAAUAAAAUGAUUGUGAUACUGA